rnacentral:rRNA from 1 species
UGGGGAAUAUUGCACAAUGGGCGGAAGCCUGAUGCAGCAACGCCGCGUGAGGGAUGACGGCCUUCGGGUUGUAAACCUCUUUUAGCAAGGAAGAAGCGAAAGUGACGGUACUUGCAGAAAAAGCGCCGGCUAACUACGUGCCAGCAGCCGCGGUAAUACGUAGGGCGCAAGCGUUAUCCGGAAUUAUUGGGCGUAAAGAGCUCGUAGGCGGUUUGUCGCGUCUGCUGUGAAAACUGGAGGCUCAACCUCCAGCCUGCAGUGGGUACGGGCAGACUAGAGUGCGGUAGGGGAGAUUGGAAUUCCUGGUGUAGCGGUGGAAUGCGCAGAUAUCAGGAGGAACACCGAUGGCGAAGGCAGAUCUCUGGGCCGUAACUGACGCUGAGGAGCGAAAGGGUGGGGAGCAAACAGGCUUAGAUACCCUGGUAGUCCACCCCGUAAACGUUGGGAACUAGUUGUGGGGGCCAUUCCACGGUCUCCGUGACGCAGCUAACGCAUUAA